AAACCUUCCCGGUGCCCCAGCCAACCCGCCGGGUUAAAUACCGGAAGGGUUCCAAAGCCGUUAACUUUCGGGAAUCCAACUUGGGGCCGUUAAAAGCCCGCCAAAUGUUAAGGCCCGGGUUUAAAAUAAAAGUUAAGGAAAAGUUGGAAAAGGCCCCACCAAGCGCUUGAACCUUUGUUGGGAAACCAAGCCUUUCUUUAAACCCUUGAGAUUAACCUAAGAAGUUCUUGGGAAGAAGGAAAGAAUUGGGAAUAAUUAAUUUUAAGGGUUAAAAAUCCCCUUAAAGAGGAAUUAACUUAAGGAAUACCCGGAAAACCGGAAAGGCCGGAUUCCUUUCUUGGGACCAAGGUUAACCGGAACCGCUUUGAAGAAUUGCCGGAAGCCUGGGGAACCAACCAGGAUAGAUACCCUGGUAGUCCACGCCCUAAACGAUGAAUGUUAGUCGUUGGAGUGCUAGCCACUUCAGUGAUGCAGCUAACGCAUUAAACAUUCCGCCUGGGGAGUACGGCCGCAAGGUUAAAACUCAAAGGAAUAGACGGGGACCCGCACAAGUGGUGGAGCAUGUGGUUUAAUUCGAAGAUACGCGAAGAACCUUACCUGGCCUUGACAUAUACCAGAACCUGCCAGAGAUGGUGGGGUGCCUUCGGGAACUGGUAUACAGGUGCUGCACGGCUGUCGUCAGCUCGUGUCGUGAGAUGUUGGGUUAAGUCCCGCAACGAGCGCAACCCUCGUGACUAGUUACUAACAGCAUAGGCUGAGGACUCUAGUCAGACUGCCUUCGUAAGGAGGAGGAAGGUGGGGACGACGUCAAGUCAUCAUGGCCCUUACGGCCAGGGCGACACACGUGCUACAAUGGGGAGGACAAUGAGAAGCGAAAUCGCGAGAUGGAGCAAAUCUAUAAACCUUCUCUCAGUUCGGAUUGUAGUCUGCAACUCGACUACAUGAAGCUGGAAUCACUAGUAAUCGUGAAUCAGCCAUGUCACGGUGAAUACGUUCCCGGGUCUUGUACUCACCGCCCGUCACACCAUGGGAGUUGAUUUCACCCGAAGCGGGGAUGCUAAAUAGGCUACCCGCCACGGUGGAAUUAGCGACUGGGGUGAAGUCGUAACAAGGUAACCGUAGGAGAACCUGCGGAUG
rnacentral:rRNA from 1 species